rnacentral:precursor_RNA from 1 species
GACCAAACGAAAACAUGGCAUCAGUCCAUGAAGUCAUGCAUAAUUGGGCUGAGCCAUGUUAAUUGAUGCAGGUA